GGCCUACUCGCUCUAACGGAGACACGCGACGAUUGUCACUUCACGAACAGCGCCCUUUUAUCCAACAUUCAGCCGCCGUAGCCUUGUGUCACCUCGCAAGGAAUGCUAGCUGUUUCUCGCGCGUCGUUGGCGGAAGGGAAAGGUGGAUUAAUUCUGAGUGCAGUCCGAUCAAGUGGGUCACAGUUGGCUCACUCCAACCUCCGCAAAGGUGCUACGCUAGUACGCCUUUACACAUCCCCCCGAGGAGCCACUGGGGCGCUCACUCCUUCAUUGCUGCUUGUCUGAUGUUUUAGACUGUCAAGAAAGACGUAGAAUUUUCGAUGUGAAACCAGGGUGAGAUGACGAGGGUAAACAUCACCGUGGAAGGGAAGCUAACCUUUCUCCGUUAUGCCCAACUCUCAGAUGGUGGCGUACGACGGCAGCCACGCGGGUGUUACGCUGCGUCGCCAUUCUGGACCAUCGAGGCGCUCAUGCGGAGUUUGUAGAGGUAUAGAGGUUUUAUAAAGUUGUGUUUCAAAGUGUCUUUAUGAUAUGUAAGUGCAACCACAGUGUGCGCACUGCACUACCAGUCAAUCUCGCGGUUUCACGGACACCGCAGCGCGAAGCUGCAGCCUUGCCUUGACGUAGAUCUAGAGCUGUGCAAGUGUCGCUGUUUCUUCGGACUAAUAUUUCUCUUUUGCAGGCCCGGAUUCGAAUCUGUUUUCAGGUAUCUCGAGGGCGACGACAUCCGCCUAUGCACCGGACUACGUGUCCCUUCUCUCUGAGUAUGCACUCGGGCAGAUUUCUGCGACCCGCAUGUUUUAAGGGAGACAGGAGAAAGUGCCGACUCAUAAAAAAGACUUAGUCGGAAAGGGACAGGCGAAGCUUAUGUUCCAUCAUACGGUAGUAGACCAAUCGGUACGCUUUAGCAGCCAUCUUCUGCUGUACAGCCCAUUUCUCGCUUCAAGUGGAGUAUAGGACGUCCGAUCUACUGCUUAGUCGAAACAAAGCAUUCUGCCUGUAUUUACUCAGUGCUACCCGGACUCAUUUUGACCGCAACAGGUCAUGAUGAGCGAUGUGGGGUAGGCUAAGAUGCCGCUUUUUACGGGCAGGCAGUGAAACGGACGCGACCUGGCUGCACUCAGCGCACGACUGGCAAAGGUCCGGACUGCCGACGGCAGAAAACCCCACUUUGGCAUGUUUUUU
rnacentral:lncRNA from 1 species